UGGGGAAUCUUGCGCAAUGGGGGAAACCCUGACGCAGCGACGCCGCGUGCGGGAUGAAGGCCUUCGGGUUGUAAACCGCUUUCAGCAGGGACGAGGCCUUAUGGUGACGGUACCUGCAGAAGAAGCUCCGGCUAAAUACGUGCCAGCAGCCGCGGUAAUACGUAUGGAGCAAGCGUUAUCCGGAUUCAUUGGGCGUAAAGCGCUCGUAGGCGGUCUGUUAGGUCGGCAAGUUAAAUCCGGGGGCUCAACCCCCGUCCGCUUCCGAUACCGGCAGACUUGAGUUUGGUAGGGGAAGGUGGAAUUCCUAGUGUAGCGGUGGAAUGCGCAGAUAUUAGGAGGAACACCAGUAGCGAAGGCGGCUUUCUGGACUGCAACUGACACUGAGGCACGAAAGCGUGGGUAGCAAACAGG
rnacentral:rRNA from 1 species